rnacentral:lncRNA from 1 species
AGUUAUAUCUGUUAUCAAUGACUCAUGUUAUCGGUAAUCAGACUCAGUAGUAAGUGCCAUCACGAAUUCAGUCACAGUCACUUAUUCAUGCAUAUAUUCUCACGUUCAUGUUAUACAGUCAGUUAGCAUUGUUCAUGCAUUUGAACCCUUUGCAUUCAGCCUAACUCACAUGCAUACCAGUACAUUCCAUCGUACUGACACAUUUGUGCUAUGAUGUUUUAUUCUCUACCAUUGGUUUAGAAGCACGAGCUCCAAAGCAUCAGUAGUAUUCCAGUUUCAGCAGUGAGUUCUCAUCCUUCGAGGACAUGAUCAUUACUUUAUUUCUUCAUUACUUAGUUUAUUUCAGCAGUUGGAGUUAGUUGGGGACAUGUUCCAUCAACUCCUUAUUCAGACAGUUUUGAGGCUUUCAGACUACAGUAUUUUCAGACUAGAUGUUUUCA